rnacentral:rRNA from 1 species
UACGAAGGGGGCUAGCGUUGCUCGGAAUCACUGGGCGUAAAGGGUGCGUAGGCGGGUCUUUAAGUCAAGGGGUGAAAUCCUGGAGCUCAACUCCAGAACUGCCUUUGAUACUGAGGAUCUUGAGUUCGGGAGAGGUGAGUGGAACUGCGAGUGUAGAGGUGAAAAUUCGUAGAUAUUCGCAAGAACACCAGUGGCGAAGGCGGCUCACUGGCCCGAUACUGACGCUGAGGCACGAAAGCGUGGGAGCAACAGG